GCAAAAUACAGCAAUCCCAUUUCCCCAUUCCACCUCCCUAAUUUCCUAAUUUAUGACUUUACCUAGGUCCUGCUUAGCAAAAUUUCUAGCCUUCAGUCAAAGUAUGAUGAAUUACGAGAGAGAAACAUACACUUGUAUCACCUUGUUAAUGAUAAAGAAGGCCUUUUCAGUCAAGAGAGGCAAGAUCUAAGUAGAGUGAUGCUAGCGAUCUCCAACCUGGCAGAGCAAUGCUACAGGAGUAGUUAUGGUCCUUUAGCACAAAUGGCAUGGUGGACUAAGCUGGACAUGAUCCAAGAGUAUAUNCUGGAAAAAAUGCACAUCAAAAGGAAAACAGCAUGGUUUGUUGAAUCUGCACGGUCAACCUCUAGUCUUUUUAUAGGAAGAUGGAAAAAAGCAAAAUAAAUUCUGGCAAGUAAGGAUUAGCUUCUAAGGAAGAGUUCUGAGAGAGCGGUUGGCAUG
rnacentral:lncRNA from 1 species